GCAGAGGUGGCGGAUCGGUCACGCACCCGCCUGCAGAGCGGGUCAGCCGGGUUCGACUCCCGGCCUCUGCU
rnacentral:tRNA from 1 species